rnacentral:rRNA from 1 species
AGAGUUUGAUCCUGGCUCAGGAUGAACGCUGGCGGCGUGCCUAAUACAUGCAAGUCGAGCGAACGGACGAGAAGCUUGCUUCUCUGAUGUUAGCGGCGGACGGGUGAGUAACACGUGGAUAACCUACCUAUAAGACUGGGAUAACUUCGGGAAACCGGAGCUAAUACCGGAUAAUAUUUUGAACCGCAUGGUUCAAAAGUGAAAGACGGUCUUGCUGUCACUUAUAGAUGGAUCCGCGCUGCAUUAGCUAGUUGGUAAGGUAACGGCUUACCAAGGCAACGAUGCAUAGCCGACCUGAGAGGGUGAUCGGCCACACUGGAACUGAGACACGGUCCAGACUCCUACGGGAGGCAGCAGUAGGGAAUCUUCCGCAAUGGGCGAAAGCCUGACGGAGCAACGCCGCGUGAGUGAUGAAGGUCUUCGGAUCGUAAAACUCUGUUAUUAGGGAAGAACAUAUGUGUAAGUAACUGUGCACAUCU